AUUGAACGCUGGCGGCGGGCCUAAUACAUGCAAGUCGAGCGGUAACAGGAGGCAGCUUGCUGCUUUGCUUACGAGUGGCGGGGGUGUGUGUAAUGUCUGGGAACUGCCUGUAAGAGGGGGAUAACUUCUGGAAACGGGAGCUAAUACCGGAUAAACUCUUUAAACCCAAGGUUUAGGAGUGAAGGACGCUUUUGAUUCGAUUUAGCCAGGUGGGAUUAGCUAGUAGGUUGGUUAACGGCUUACCUAGGCAACGAUCCGUAGCUGGUCUGAGAGGAUGACCAGCCACACUGGAACUGAGACACGGUCCAGACUCCUACGGGAGGCAGCAGUGGGGAAUAUUGCACAAUGGGCGCAAGCCUGAUGCAGCCAUGCCGCGUGUAUGAAGAAGGCCUUCGGGUUGUAAAGUACUUUCAGCGGGGAGGAAGGGAGUAAAGUUAAAACCUUCGCUCAUUGACGUUACCCGCACAGGAAGCACCGGCUAACUCCGUG
rnacentral:rRNA from 1 species